CCUACGGGUGGCAGCAGUGGGGAAUAUUGGACAAUGGGCGAAAGCCUGAUCCAGCCAUGCCGCGUGUGUGAAGAAGGCCUUCGGGUUGUAAAGCAUUUUCAGUGGGGAAGAAAGCCUUGGGGCUAAUACCCUCGAGGAAGGACAUCACCCACAGAAGAAGCACCGGCUGAACUCCGUGCCAGCAGCCGCGGUAAUACGGAGGGUGCGAGCGUUAAUCGGAAUUACUGGGCGUAAAGCGCGCGUAGGCGGUCUGAUAAGCCGGUUGUGAAAGCCCCGGGCUCAACCUGGGAACGGCAUCCGGAACUGUCAGGCUAGAGUGCAGGAGAGGAGGGUAGAAUUCCCGGUGUAGCGGUGAAAUGCGUAGAGAUCGGGAGGAAUACCAGUGGCGAAGGCGGCCUUCUGGACUGACACUGACGCUGAGGUGCGAAAGCGUGGGUAGCAAACAGGAUUAGAUACCCUAGUAGUC
rnacentral:rRNA from 1 species